UUUAACCUACGGGGCGCAGCAGUGGGGAAUAUUGGGCAAUGGAGGCAACUCUGACCCAGCAACGCCGCGUGAGUGAUGAAGGUCUUCGGAUUGUAAAACUCUUUAAGUGGGGACGAAGAAAGUGACUGUACCCACAGAAUAAGCCUCGGCUAACUACGUGCCAGCAGCCGCGGUAAUACGUAGGAGGCAAGCGUUAUCCGGAAUGACUGGGCGUAAAGGGUGCGUAGGUGGUUCGGCAAGUUAGUAGCGUAAUUCCGGGGCUCAACCUCGGAACUACUACUAAAACUGUUGGGCUUGAGUGCAGG
rnacentral:rRNA from 1 species